rnacentral:rRNA from 1 species
AAAAGAAACUAACAAGGAUUCCCCUAGUAACUGCGAGUGAAGCGGGAAAAGCUCAAAUUUAAAAUCUGGCGGUCUUCGGCCGUCCGAGUUGUAGUCUGGAGAAGCGUUUUCCGCGUUGGACCGUGUACAAGUUUCCUGGAACGGAGCGUCAUAGAGGGUGAGAAUCCCGUCUUUGACACGGACCCCAAUGCUUUGUGAUGCGCUCUCAAAGAGUCGAGUUGUUUGGGAAUGCAGCUCAAAAUGGGUGGUGAAUUCCAUCUAAAGCUAAAUAUUGGCGAGAGACCGAUAGCGAACAAGUACCGUGAGGGAAAGAUGAAAAGCACUUUGGAAAGAGAGUUAAACAGUACGUGAAAUUGUUGAAAGGGAAACGCUUGAAGUCAGUCGCGUCGUCCGGGACUCAGCCUUGCUCUCGCUUGGUGUACUUUCCGGUCGACGGGCCAGCAUCAAUUUUGACCGCGAGAUAAAGUCGGAGGAAAUGUGGCUCUUUCGGGAGUGUUAUAGUCCUUCGUCGCAUGUCGCGGUUGGGAUUGAGGAACUCAGCACGCCUUUAUGGCCGGGGUUCGCCCACGUUCGUGCUUAGGAUGCUGGCGUAAUGGCUUUAAACGACCCGUCUU